GACGAACGCUGGCGGCGUGCCUAAUACAUGCAAGUAGAACGCUGAAGGAGGAGCUUGCUUCUCCGGAUGAGUUGCGAACGGGUGAGUAACGCGUAGGUAACCUGCCUGGUAGCGGGGGAUAACUAUUGGAAACGAUAGCUAAUACCGCAUAACAGUAGAUAUUGCAUGAUAUCUGCUUGAAAGGUGCAAUUGCAUCACUACCAGAUGGACCUGCGUUGUAUUAGCUAGUUGGUGGGGUAACGGCUCACCAAGGCGACGAUACAUAGCCGACCUGAGAGGGUGAUCGGCCACACUGGGACUGAGACACGGCCCAGACUCCUACGGGAGGCAGCAGUAGGGAAUCUUCGGCAAUGGACGGAAGUCUGACCGAGCAACGCCGCGUGAGUGAAGAAGGUUUUCGGAUCGUAAAGCUCUGUUGUAAGAGAAGAACGAGUGUGAGAGUGGAAAGUUCACACUGUGACGGUAU
rnacentral:rRNA from 1 species